rfam:Gossypium raimondii Chr05_contig_1341, whole genome shotgun sequence.
UGUUAAAAAUUUCAUUCAUUUCUUCUCUUAAGAACUAGCAUGGUUGACUAAAUAACCAAACAGUUACAGGUGGCAUGCUACGUAUGCCUUAUGUUGACGUACAAGGAUCAGUUUUUAACAGUAAUAAUGGAUGGAAUUUUUAAUA